GCGAAAACUUUACAAUGCUGGCAACAGCGAUAAGGGAACCUCGAGUGCCAGGUUACAAAUCUGGCUGUCGAGAUGCCUAAAAAGCAUUUCAUAGCAAGGGCCGGGCAAGACCGGUGCCAGCCGCCGCGGUAACACCGGCGGCUCGAGUGGUAACCGUUAUUAUUGGGUUUAAAGGGUCUGUAGCCGGCCGGAUAAGUCUCUUGAGAAAUCUGGCAGCUUAACUGUCAGGCUUUCAGGAGAUACUGUCUGGCUCGAGGCCGGGAGAGGUGAGAGGUACUCCAGGGGUAGGGGUGAAAUCUUGUAAUCCUUGAAGGACCACCAGUGGCGAAGGCGUCUCACCAGAACGGACCUGACGGCAAGGGACGAAAGCUAGGGGCACGAACC
rnacentral:rRNA from 1 species